AGCACUCAUCGCAUGGUGGUUGUUGGAAAGAUUUAUCGGUGGGGAAUGGACUCGCGGCCUAUCAGUUUGUUGGUGAGGUGAUGGCUCACCAAGACGAUGACGGGUAGCCGGCCUGAGAGGGCGACCGGCCACACUGGGACUGAGACACGGCCCAGACUCCUACGGGAGACAGCAGUGGGGAAUUUUGCACAAUGGGCGGAAGCUUGAUGCAGCGACGCCGCGUGGGGGAUGACGGCCUUCGGGUUGUAAACCCCUUUCAGUAGUGAAGAAGCGAGAGUGACGGUACCUGCAGAAGAAGCGCCGGCUAACUACGUGCCAGCAGCCGCGGUAAUACGUAGGGCGCAAGCGUUGUCCGGAAUUAUUGGGGGUAAAGAGCUUGUAGGUGGCUUGUCGCGUCUGCCGUGAAAACCCGAGGCUCAACCUCGGGCGUGCGUUGGGUACGGGCAGGCUAGAGUGUGGUAGGGGAGGCUGAGACUCCUGGUGUAGGGGUGAAAUGCGCAGAUAUCAGGAGGAACACCGAUGGCAAAGGCAGCUCUCUGGGCCAUUACUGACACUGAGAAGCGAAAGCAUGGGUAGCGAACAGGAUUAGAUACCCUGUUAGUCCAUGCCGUAAACGUUGGGCACUAGGUGUGGGGGUCAUUCCACGUUUUCCGCGCCGUAGCUAACGCAUUAAGUGCCCCGCCUGGGGAGUACGGCCGCAAGGCUAAAACUCAAAGGAAUUGACGGGGGCCCGCACAAGCGGCGGAGCAUGCUGAUUAAUUCGAUGCAACGCGAAGAUCCUUACCAAGGCUUGACAUGCACUGGACGGCUGCAGAGAUGUGGCUUUCUUUGGACUGGUGCACAGGUGGUGCAUGGUUGUCGUCAGCUCGUGUUGUGAGAUGUUGGGUUAAGUCCCGCAACGAGCGCAACCCUCAUUCUUUGUUGCCAGCACGUGAUGGUGGGGACUCAAAGGAGACUGCCGGGGUCAACUCGGAGGAAGGUGGGGACGACGUCAAAUCAUCAUGCCCCUUAUGUGUUGGGCUUCAAACGUGCUACAAUGGUCGGUACAAAGGGUUGCGAAACUGUGAGGUGAAGCGAAUCCCAAAAAGCCGGCCUCAG
rnacentral:rRNA from 1 species